rnacentral:rRNA from 1 species
UACGGAGGGAGCUAGCGUUGUUCGGAAUUACUGGGCGUAAAGCGCACGUAGGCGGCUUUGUAAGUUAGGGGUGAAAGCCCGGAGCUCAACUCCGGAAUUGCCUUUAAGACUGCAUCGCUUGAAUCCGGGAGAGGUGAGUGGAAUUCCGAGUGUAGAGGUGAAAUUCGUAGAUAUUGGGAAGAACACCGGUGGCGAAGGCGGCGCUCUGGACCGAGACUGACGCUGAGGCGCGAAAGCGUGGGGAGCAAACAGG